AACGAACGCUGGCGGCAUGCCUAACACAUGCAAGUCGAACGAGACCUUCGGGUCUAGUGGCGCACGGGUGCGUAACGCGUGGGAACCUGCCCUUAGGUUCGGAAUAACUCCCCGAAAGGGGUGCUAAUACCGGAUAAUGUCUUCGGACCAAAGAUUUAUCGCCUUUGGAUGGGCCCGCGUUGGAUUAGCUAGUUGGUAGGGUAAAAGCCUACCAAGGCGACGAUCCAUAGCUGGUCUGAGAGGAUGAUCAGCCACACUGGGACUGAGACACGGCCCAGACUCCUAGGGGAGGCAGAGGGGGGGAAUAUUGGAAAAGGGGCGAAAGCCUGAUCCAGCAAGGCCGGGUGGGGGAUGAAGGCCUUGGGGUUGAAAAGCUCUUUUACCGGGGAUGAUAAGGAAAGUACCGGGAGAAUAAGCCCCGGCUAACUCCGU
rnacentral:rRNA from 1 species